UACGGGGGAGCAAGCGUUGUUCGGAUUUACUGGCGUAAAGGGCGCGUAGGCGGUCAGCACAAGUCAGUUGUGAAAUCUCCGAGCUUAACUCGGAAAGGUCAACUGAUACUGUGCGACUAGAGUGCGGAAGGGGCAACUGGAAUUCUUGGUGUAGCGGUGAAAUGCGUAGAUAUCAAGAGGAACACCUGCGGCGAAGGCGGGUUGCUGGGCGACACUGACGCUGAGGCGCGAAAGCCAGGGGGGAGCGAACGGG
rnacentral:rRNA from 1 species